rnacentral:tRNA from 1 species
AGGGGUGUAGCUCACUGGUAGAGCAUUUGACUGCAGAUCAAGAUGUCUCUGGUUCAAUUCCUUAUGUCCCCU